UAUUACUCUCUUAAAAUCGGUGCAACGGUGCAGUAUUUCAUGUGUCAGUAUCAGCAGGAAGAAAAGACAGCGAUCAGAGUCUCCAGAAUCCAGCGGUGUGUGUGUGAAGAGUCACAGAUCCAUGAAGCCAGUGACCUCUGACCCCAGCAUCACAAGGAGGAAGAGACAGAGAUCUCCAGAACCCAGCAGUGUGUCUGUGAAGAGUAACAGGUCCAUGAACAGACCCCCUGUAUUCAGUGAUUCAGCAGUGACCUCUGACUCUCUGGGCAAAAUGCAUGACACAGAUGCAAUCAGCUCAUCUUCUACCUCCCACCUCUCAGACCCACAUCAGAGAUGAAAGAAAUGAAGCAGACCU